rnacentral:rRNA from 1 species
GAUGAACGCUGGCGGCGUGCCUAAUACAUGCAAGUCGAGCGAACGGACGAGAAGCUUGCCUCUCUGAUGUUAGCGGCGGACGGGUGAGUAACACGUGGAUAACCUACCUAUAAGACUGGGAUAACUUCGGGAAACCGGAGCUAAUACCGGCUAAUAUUUUGCACCGCAUGGUUCAAAAGUGAAAGACGUUCUUGCUGUCACUUAUAGAUGGAUCCGCGCUGCAUUAGCUAGUUGGUAAGGUAACGGCUUACCAAGGCAACGAUGCAUAGCCGACCUGAGAGGAUGAUCAGCCACACUGGAACUGAGACACGGUCCAGACUCCUACGGGAGGCAGCAGUAGGGAAUAUUCCGCAAUGGGCGAAAGCCUGACGGAGCAACGCCGCGUGAGUGAAGAAGGUCUUCGGAUCGUAAAGCUCUGUUAUUAGGGAAGAACAGAUGUGAAAGUAACUGUGCACGUCUUGACGGUACCUAAACAAAAAGCCACGGCUAACUACGUG